rnacentral:rRNA from 1 species
CCCUUAGAUGUUCUGGGCCGCACGCGCGCUACACUGACGAAUGCAACGAGCUUAUAACCUUGGCCGAAAGGUCUGGGUAAUCUCCAAAUUUCGUCGUGAUGGGGAUAGAUUAUUGCAAUUAUUAAUCUUCAACGAGGAAUGCCUAGUAAGCGCAAGUCAUCAGCUUGCGUUGAUUACGUCCCUGCCCUUUGUACACACCGCCCGUCGCUCCUACCGAUUGAAUGGUCCGGUGAAGCGCUCGGACCGCGGCCUCUUGACGGUUUUCCGUCGAUUGGCUGUGGGAAGUUCGUUAAACCUUAUCAUUUAGAGGAAGGAGAANUCGUANCA